rnacentral:rRNA from 1 species
CAAUAGCGUAUAUUAAAGUUGUUGCGGUUAAAAAGCUCGUAGUUGGAGUUCUGCCAGGUGCCGCCUGUCCGCCCCAGUGGUGAGUACGUGGCGCGCAUUUGGCCCUUUCAAGGGGAGCGUAUCUGCACUUUAUUGUGUGGUGCGGGAUCCUUGACUUUUACUUUGAGGAAAUAGGAGUGUUCCAAGCAGGCUCUCGUCGUGCACAGCUCAGCAUGGAAUAAUAGCAUUGGACCUCGAUUCUAAGCUGUUGGUUGCCAGAAGCGAGGUAAUGAUGAAGAGGGAUAGUUGGGGGCAUUCGUAUUUAACUGUCUGAGGUGAAAUUCUUGGAUUUGUUAAAGACGGACUACUGCGAAAGCAUCUGCCAUGGAUGUUUUCAUUGA